rnacentral:rRNA from 1 species
GACGAACGCUGGCGGCGUGCUUAACACAUGCAAGUCGAACGAAGUGGCGAACGGGUGAGUAACGCGUAAUCAACCUGCCCUUCAGAGGGGAACAACAGUUGGAAACGACUGCUAAUACCGCAUACUGAAUGAGGGGUUUGCGUCUGAUUGGCUAGUGGGAGGGGUAACGGACCACCAAGGCGAUGAUCAGUAGCCUGGGUGAGAGGAUGAACGGCCACAUUGGGACGGAGAAACGGCCCAGACUCCUACGGGAGGCAGCAGUGGGGAAUCUUCCGCAAUGGACGAAAGUCUGACGAAGCAACGCCGCGUGAGUGAUGACGGCCUUCGGGGUGUAAAGCUCUGUUAAUCGGGACGCGGUACCGGAAUAGAAAGCCACGGCUAACUACGUGCCAGCCGCCGCGGUAAUUC